CAGUCGCCACGGGAAUACGGAGGGUGCAAGCGUUAAUCGGAAUUACUGGGCGUAAAGCGCACGCAGGCGGUUUGUUAAGUCAGAUGUGAAAUCCCCGAGCUUAACUUGGGAACUGCAUUUGAAACUGGCAAGCUAGAGUCUUGUAGAGGGGGGUAGAAUUCCAGGUGUAGCGGUGAAAUGCGUAGAGAUCUGGAGGAAUACCGGUGGCGAAGGCGGCCCCCUGGACAAAGACUGACGCUCAGGUGCGAAAGCGUGGGGAGCGAACAGGAUUAGAUACCCCUGUAGUCCCUGUCUCUUAUAU
rnacentral:rRNA from 1 species